CAACCCUGAUCCAGCCAUGCCGCGUGCGGGAAGAAGGCCUUCGGGUUGUAAACCGCUUUUGUCAGGGAAGAAACGCGCUGGGCUAAUACCCCGGCGUAAUGACGGUACCUGAAGAAUAAGCACCGGCUAACUACGUGCCAGCAGCCGCGGUAAUACGUAGGGUGCAAGCGUUAAUCGGAAUUACUGGGCGUAAAGCGUGCGCAGGCGGCUUUGCAAGACAGAUGUGAAAUCCCCGGGCUUAACCUGGGAACUGCAUUUGUGACUGCAUGGCUGGAGUGCGGCAGAGGGGGAUGGAAUUCCGCGUGUAGCAGUGAAAUGCGUAGAUAUGCGGAGGAACACCGAUGGCGAAGGCAAUCCCCUGGGCCUGCACUGACGCUCAUGCACGAAAGCGUGGGGAGCAAACAGGAUUAGAUACCCUGGUAGUCCACGCCCUAAACGAUGUCAACUGGUUGUUGGACGGCUUGCUGUUCAGUAACGAAGCUAACGC
rnacentral:rRNA from 1 species